rnacentral:rRNA from 1 species
CUUAAAUGAAUUGACGGGGCCCGCACAAGCGGUGGAGCAUUGUGGUUUAAUUCGAAGCAACGCGAAGAACCUUACCAGGUCUUGACAUCCCGAUGCUAUUUCUAGAGAUAGAAAGUUACUUCGGUACAUCGGUGACAGGUGGUGCAUGGUUGUCGUCAGCUCGUGUCGUGAGAUGUUGGGUUAAGUCCCGCAACGAGCGCAACCCCUAUUGUUAGUUGCCAUCAUUCAGUUGGGCACUCUAGCGAGACUGCCGGUAAUAAACCGGAGGAAGGUGGGGAUGACGUCAAGUCCUCAUGGCCUUUAUGACCAGGGCUACACACGUACUACAAUGGCCGGUACAAAGGGCAGCGACACAGCGAUGUGAAGCGAAUCCCGAAAAGCCGGUCUCAGUCCGGAUUGGAGUCUGCAACUCGACUCCAUGAAGUUGGAAUCGCUAGUAAUCGCGGAUCAGCACGCCGCGGUGAAUACGUUCCCGGGCCUU